rnacentral:rRNA from 1 species
GACGAACGCUGGCGGCGUGCCUAACACAUGCAAGUCGAACGGAACUGUUUUGAAAGCUUUCUGCGGAAUGAAUAUGAUAUAGUUUAGUGGCGGACGGGUGAGUAACGCGUGAGUAACCAGCCUUCAAGAGGGGAAUAACAUUCUGAAAAGAAUGCUAAUACCGCAUGACAUAGCGGAACCACAUGGUUUUGAUAUCAAAGAUUCUAUCGCUUGAAGAUGGGCUCGCGCGCGUUUUGGUAGUGGGAGAGGUAACGGCACACCAAGACCGCGAUCGGUAGCCGGACUGUGAGGUUGGACAGCCACCUUGGGACUGAGCGACGGCCCGGACUCCUACGGGAGGCAGCAGUGGGGGAUAUUGCGCGAUGGGAGCAAGCCUGACGCAGCACCGCCGCGUGAAGGAUGACGGUUUUCGGAUUGUAGACUUCUUUUAUUAAGGACGAAAAAUGACGGUACUUAAUGAAUAAGCUCCGGCUAACUACGUG